AUUGAACGCUGGCGGCAUGCCUUACACAUGCAAGUCGAACGGUAACAGGCCGCAAGGUGCUGACGAGUGGCGAACGGGUGAGUAAUACAUCGGAACGUGCCCGAUCGUGGGGGAUAAUGGAGCGAAAGCUUUGCUAAUACCGCAUACGAUCUACGGAUGAAAGCAGGGGACCGCAAGGCCUUGCGCGGACGGAGCGGCCGAUGGCAGAUUAGGUAGUUGGUGGGAUAAAAGCUUACCAAGCCGACGAUCUGUAGCUGGUCUGAGAGGACGACCAGCCACACUGGGACUGAGACACGGCCCAGACUCCUACGGGAGGCAGCAGUGGGGAAUUUUGGACAAUGGGCGAAAGCCUGAUCCAGCCAUGCCGCGUGCAGGAUGAA
rnacentral:rRNA from 1 species